GAAAGUGAAAGUAUUUUAAUUCUGGACUCUCCAGUUUGUUAAGAAACACGGAUAAGAUUCUGCAUUGCAAGAAGCCCCAGCAUCAGUCAUCUGGUCUAGAUCGGCACAAAAAUGGGGGGAGCUGCUUCUGAAAUGACCCCCCCUGUGGAGUGUGAAACAAAGAGAACUGAGAGUGUCCUGAUGGAGAGAGCAGGCUCACCUGUACCCAGCUGUGUUUCCAUGAAGAGUGACA